CUUUUUUUAUUUCCUCCGUUAAGACCGCAACACUAUAUAAUCCGAUGUCAACUUCUAGCUACGGCAACUCUAACCACGUUACCCUCUCCUUCCUCUUACUGUUAUUAUCCCUCUUCUUCCUUGCCUCAUCGCCUCCUUCUCAUUAAGCAAGGAGCUUAGAGAUUUGACGCUCUACCUCUAUGGAACGGAUCAGAUUAGGAGAAGAAAGGUUCUCUAAGAGCAAGGUCCUGCCUCAGAAACUUAACAGAUAGAUCUCUUAUUCUGAAGGGAAGCACAAACCAUUCACGGGAUGAAGUUUCACAAUUUGCAGAUCAAGUUUCUCUCUACUCCGAGUGUACCCAACACUGGUAAUAGCAGAAGAACAUGUUCAUGGCGAUAAUGUGGUAACUUAGAUUGAAGACUAUUUCAUGAGAAUUAGUCAAAUGCAGCAGUAGAUCUCUCACUCACCAGGAAUCUGAGCUUAUAAGGAGAAUUAUAAAGAGAACUUUGAGAAAAUGUGGUUGUUG